UUUAAAUCUUUUUCCUAAGGGGGGAAGGGGAGCAGUGAGAGAAAGGAGGGAAACUGCAGGGUUUGGAUCUGGAGCUCCAGCGAGAGAGAUGGGUUGCAGCCCGCAGGCCCUCACAGAGUGAAGCAGCAGAGAACCUGCCUGAAGUCUGGGAAGGACAGGAAGCCGAUCGGGGACACCCCAGGACAGGAGCCAGGAGGAGCACUGUGCCAGUGAGGAAUUGCCGGAGAAGGACAGGCUGGAGCUGGACCCAGUAUUACUGCUGCCCAGAGCUACAUGGGGCUCAUAAAAGGCGAGAAGUGUCCAGUGACAGAGAUGAUGGAAAGGCAUUUUAUGGUUCACUCUCAGCAGCAUGGGCUCUCUGCACAGGUACUACUGCGGAGAAUUAUUUGGAAGAGCCAUCUGAGGGAAGGGAUCAGAAGGAGACCCCAUUGACCAGAAGGUAUGAGAUGCACUGUCCUACGGAUGGGGUUCCAUGACCACCAUUCCCAAGAGGAGGAGAUGGGUGGUGGUUGGGGGUUGCCUCCCAAGGGGGACAGAGUCAUUCAUGUGCCGACCAGUCUGAGAAACUUGAGAAAUGUGCUGCUUGCCCGGAGCUAGAAUUCAGAAUGUGACGGAGUGUCUGCCGAGACUGAUCAAGCCCUUGGACCGCUACCCCUUCCUCCAUGUGGGCACCAAUGACACUGCCAGGAAUGACCUUGAGCGGGUCACUGCAGACUAUGUGGCUCUGGGAAGAAGGAUAAAGGAGUGUGAGGCGCAAGUCGUGUUUUCGUCCUUACUCCCUGUUGAAGGAAAAGGCCCAAGUAGGGACUGUCAAAGUGUGGAGGUAAAUGCGUGGUUAUGCAGGUGGGGUCAGAGAGAGGGCUUUGGAUUCUUCGACCAUGGGAUGUUGUUCCGGGAAGAAGGAUU